UUUUGAUUGGUUUUUUGUCCAGAAAUCACCUGGACAAAACCAUCCUCAGCCCCAGGGAUGGGCUGGUGGGCAAAACCAUGACACUCCCCCAGACCCAAUUCCCAAGAGGCGUGGCGGGGGCAGAACCUGGGUGGUGGCCGGAUGGGGAUUGGGUGAAAAUCAUUAUAAAAUCUGUGGACAUCUGUAUUCCAGAGCGCACGUUGGGGUAUUCCGGAAAGCCUGGGGGCUCAUUAAAGCCUUUGUAUCCUUAUCUUAUCUCCUACCUAAUUUGGCUUGGAGUCUUGUUUUUCCCCACAACCAUUUAGGCAAAAGUUUUGGUGGCUCCCGUACGGGGACAUCAGGACUUGUGACUCCUCUGGGUCGAUAUUCCAUUUUGCAGGGAUAUCUUCUCCGGCCAGCAUAUCUUGAAGAAUUCCUGCUCUGAUCUUGGGGGAGCCCAGCUUCUCGGACCUACCCACGGAGGAGAACCAUGGAGAGAUCCCUGCAGAGGUUGAGAAUGCCGUCAUCCCUUUAGUGUGGGCUCGUGGUUACCCUGGGAGGUCCAAGCAAGCAGAACCCGUAAGCAUCACGCUCAAGCCAGGAGCAACACCGGUAAGGCAAAAACAAUACCCCUUGAAGCUAGAAAGUCAUCAAGGUUUAGCACCCAUAAUUGAAAAGUUUCUUAAGUUUGGCCUAUUGGUAGAAUGUGAGUCCAAAUAUAACACCCCCAUCCUUUUAGUGAAGAAAGCUGAUGGUAAGAGCUAUCGAUUGGUCCAAGAUCUGAGGGCAAUCAAUAAAAUAACAGAGGAUAGCAAACCCCUGUACCUUGUUAACCCCAUUAACAGAGGAAUUAGGGUGGUUUACAGUGCUUGAUCUAAAGGAUGCCUUUUUCUUCAUUCCUGUGCACAAGGACAGCCAAGAGCUUUUUGCUUUUGAAUGGGAAAAUCCUGACAGGGAGAAGAACUCAACUAACCUGGACUGUCCUACCGCAAGGCUAUAAAAACAACCCGACGAUAUUUGGAAACCAGCUGGCAAAAGAACUGGAGGACUGGAGGAGGCAGCAGCCAGAAGGACUUGUCCUGCAGUAUGUAGAUGACAUACUAAUUGCUGCUAAAAGUCAGGACCAAUGCAUCGAGCUCACUGUAAGUCUUUUAAACUUUUUGGGACUAAGUGGGUAUAGGGUCUCGAAACAGAAAGCACACAUGGCAAAGGAAAUAGUCAUUUACCUGGGGCUUGAAAUCUAUCGUGGACAUCGACAGCUCAGCACAGAUUGGAAAGAAGCCAUCUGCCGUCUCCCAGAGCCCCACACUGUACGAGAAAUGCAGGCUUUCCUAGGAAUGGUGGGGUGGUGUCGCCUGUGGAUAGCUGACCAUGGGUUAUUAGUCAAACCCCUAUAUGAAGCACUGAAAGCAGCCAAGAAAGGAGUUGUGACAUGGACAGAUGAGACCAGACCUGCAUUUAAACAACUGAAACAGUCCUUAAUGUGUCCUCCAGCACUGGGACUACCAGACCUAACCAAGCCCUUUGAACUGUUUACAUAUGAGCAACUAAAUGUUGCCCUGGGGGUACUGUCACAGACCCUGGGACACCAGUGGAGGGCUGUGGCCUACUUCUCCAAACAGCUAGGCAGUGUCAGCCCAGGAUGGCCGGGGUGUCUAAGAGCUAACUGCAGUAGGAUCAAACAUGCAGACCAAAUCCAUGCAGUCCUUCAAAGUAUUUGGAAGCCAGAAAAGGUAUCCAUUAUGCACUGAAGAGCUCAUCAGAAGGGGAAAACAAUUCCCGAAUUGGGAAAUCAUUUUGCUGACCAGGCUGCAAAAGGGGCUGCAGAAAAAGGCAUUCUAGCAGUAAUACCACAGAAAGAGAUUGAUUUGACAGGGUACACCCCAAAAUAUGAUGAGAAAGACCACCAAUUAAUUAAAUCCCUUAAAGCUGAAAUCAAAGAAAGUGGGUGGGCUGUUACACCAACAGGACAGGUUGUGGUCACACCCCCACUCCUAAGGGAAAUAGCUCUGCAGGAACAUGAGGCUCCCCACUGGGGAACAGAGAACCUUCUCAAACACCUAAAGAAGGUAGUGAUAGGGACAGGCAUGACUGAAGUAGUGCAAUCCAUAGUGAGUAAGUGUGAAAUCUGCCAGCAGAACAACCCGGAUACCACCAAGAGGGUGGUGCUAGGAGUGACAAAGGCUGGGAACCUCCCUGGAGAUUAUUGGCAAAUAGAUUUUGCUGAGUUACCACCGAGGGAGGGGUACAAAUACACUCUAGUGCUGGUUGACACUUUUAGUAAAUGGCCUGAAGCUUACCCAUGUCACACUAACACAGCAAGGGAAGUGGUAAAAGCUUUGCUUAAUCACAUAAUUCCAAGAUUUAGGUUCCUCUGGGAACGUCAUCAGACAGAGGGACACAUUUCAUUGCAGUGAUAGUGAAGGAGGUGUGUCAUGUCCUAGGAAUUGUUUGGGACCUCCACACUCCCUAUAGACCUCAGGCAAGUGGCAAAGUCGAACGCAUGAAUGGCACUCUUAAAAUGCAAAUUGGUAAAAUUUGUCAGGAAACAUCCAUGUCAUGGGUUCAGGCUUUGCCUCUGGCUCUGCUGAGGAUUCGCAUCCAGCCAAGGCGGAGGGAUAACAUAAGUCCUUAUGAAAUAUUGUAUGGAAGACCAUACCAGGCUCCACACAUUCCAGGGGACAUUCACAUGAGAGGGAAGGUUGAUUUACAAAAGUAUUUAAUUGCUUUAGGCUCUACUUUACAGAAGCUCCAGCAAUUCGUCGAGCUUUCCAGACUUAGAGGAUUGGACACCCCUGCUCAUCAAUUCCAACCAGGAGACUGGGUCUACAUCAAAUGGUGGGACAGUGACCCGCUGCGAGCCAAGUGGAGAGGACCUUUCCAAGUCCUGCUGACUUCCCUCACUGCUGUCAAAGUUGCUGGCAAAGGACCCUGGUUUCAUUACUCCAGAGUGAAGAAAGCUUCAGUUCCUGGAACUAUCAGCAAAGCAGAACCCGACUCAGAGGAAGAAGAUGUGGCAUAGACUGUUUCUACUGUACAUGUUAUCUGUACAGUCGGUAACUAUGAAUCGAGUUUGGGAUCCAAAAUUGCAUGUGGCCAUAGUCCAAAAUGUAUCCAAAAUCCUCCGCAGAGAUGACUGCUGGAUUUGCACCCAAAUACCAGCAGUGGACGGUAAAGAUGGCAGCUGGCCCCUCACUGGCAUUUUACUAAACAAAGCAAACUUU